rnacentral:rRNA from 1 species
UGGGGAAUAUUGCACAAUGGGCGAAAGCCUGAUGCAGCGACGCCGCGUGAGGGAUGACGGCCUUCGGGUUGUAAACCUCUUUCUGUAGGGACGAAGCGCAAGUGAAGGUACCUGCAGAAGAAGCACCGACUAACGACGUGCUAGCAGCCGCGGUAAUACGUAGGGUGCGAGCGUUGUCCGGAAUUACUGGGCGUAAAGAGCUCGUAGGCGGUUUGUCACGUCGUCUGUGAAAUCCUAGGGCUUAACCCUGGACGUGCAGGCGAUACGGGCUGACUUGAGUACUACAGGGGGGACUGGAAUUUCUGGUGCAGCGGUGGAAUGCACAGAUAUCAGGAAGAACACCGAUGGCGAAGGCAGGUCUCUGGGUAGUAACUGACGCUGAGGAGCGAAAGCAUGGGUAGCGAACAGG